GAGGUUGUGGUGUAACGGCAGCACAGCAGACUUUUAAUCUGCACGGCGUAGGUUCGAAUCCUACCAGCCUCA
rnacentral:tRNA from 1 species